CUACGGGUCGCACCAGUAGGGAAUUUUGCGCAAUGGGGGAAACCCUGACGCAGUAAUGCCGCGUGAGUGAGGAAGGCCUUUGGGUUGUAAAGCUCUGUCCUUAGGGAAAAAUGACGAUUUGGAAUAAUACCCAAUUCGAGUGAUGGUACCUAAGAAGAAAGCACCGGCUAACUUCGUGCCAGCAGCCGCGGUAAUACGAAGGGUGCAAGCGUUGUUCGGAUUUAUUGGGCGUAAAGAGCGCGCAGGCGGACUUACAAGUCAGGUGUGAAAUAUCGGAGCUUAACUCCGAGACUGCGCCUGAAACUAUUUGUCUAGAAUCUCAGAGAGGGAAGGGGAAUUUCGCAUGUAGGAGUAAAAUCCGUAGAGAUGCGAAGGAACACCAGUGGCGAAGGCGCCUUCCUGGAUGAGUAUUGACGCUGAGGCGCGAAAGCGUGGGGAGCAAACAGGAUUAGAUACCCGAGUAGUC
rnacentral:rRNA from 1 species